rnacentral:lncRNA from 10 species
UAAUCAGUCUUAUUUAUUUUAAUUAUUUUAAAUGUUAUAUUUUACAUUUAUGCAUAGUUAGAAAAACAUAAUUCUUCUUUCCAGGCUUUUAUUUAAUUUGAAUAACUUCAUCCCUAACAGUUAUAAAACCAUGAUAAGGUAUUAUUGCAGAGCGUUGGUAAAGUAACCCUGAAAGAUUUCGGUGUAGCAUAGCCCAUAAUUUAAUAUUCCUCUGCUCAGAGUUAGAUAAUUCUACUUUCCAUUUUAACAUUUAAAAACAAAUCCCCAGAAUUAGAAUAUGCAACAUUAAAAAAGAAGAAAAAGAAAUACAUAGUAAACAUGAAUCAAUUUAACAGGAAAAGUGUUUAUUUUGUUGACAGUGUUUAUGGAAACUUUAUUCAAUUAUUUGCUAUAUUUGAGUAUAUGUAUGGUAUGUCUACUAUGAUUUCAUCAUCCAAAUAUAUUUUAUAUUUAUACUAAAAUGUCUUAACAAAAACAUACAACAAUUUAAAUUUAAAAAUCUAUUGAAAAACCAAAAGUCUAAGAAAGAAUGUUAUACACACAUACAGACACACACAGACACACACACGCACAAAAUUCUUAUAAGAUUGUGAAAGGUACAAGAGGUAGCCUCUAACUCUAACAUAGCUCCUAGUGAUUUUUGUUUUCUAGUAUAAUGUGUGAGUGUGUAUGUGUGUGUGUAUCUCCAAGCUUAUAAUUUUUUUAUAUAUAUUUCUACAUCUAUAUCUAUCUAUCCCUUGAGUGUGUGCUAUAUUUUGUAACUUGCUUGUAAGCAACAGAAUAUAACAAAUUAAUGGGAUAUCAUUAGUUACCAAAGACCUGUGACUUCCGUAUUACUGGCUACCUCUCACCCUCGCUUGCUCUCUUACUUGCCCCCUCUGGUGGACAACAGAUGACAAUUCAUGAGCUCUCCUGUGGAGAAGACUCCAGCCUGUGAGGAACUGAGUCCUGUGUCCAACAACAUGUGAGGAACCGCUAAGUCUUUGAAUGAUCUCGGAAGAUAAUCUCCCAGUUGAGCUUUCAGAUGACUGCAGUCCUGGCUGACACCUUAAUUGUCGCUUCAUGAAAUCCAGAGUCACAGGGCCUGG